rnacentral:rRNA from 1 species
GACGAACGCUGGCGGCGUGCUUAACACAUGCAAGUCGAGCGGUAAGGCCCUUUCGGGGGUACACGAGCGGCGAACGGGUGAGUAACACGUGGGUGACCUGCCCUCAGCUCUGGGAUAAGCCUGGGAAACCGGGUCUAAUACUGGAUAUGACUCCAUGACGCAUGUUGUGGGGUGGAAAGCCUUGUGCGGCUGAGGAUGGGCCCGCGGCCUAUCAGCUUGUUGGUGGGGUGAUGGCCUACCAAGGCGACGACGGGUAGUCGGCCUGAGAGGGCGACCGGCCACACUGGGACUGAGACACGGCCCAGACUCCUACGGGAGGCAGCAGUGGGGAAUCUUGCGCAAUGGGCGAAAGCCUGACGCAGCGACGCCGCGUGAGGGA